rnacentral:rRNA from 1 species
GACGAACGCUGGCGGCGUGCUUAACACAUGCAAGUCGAACGGAAAGGCCCUGCUUGCAGGGUACUCGAGUGGCGAACGGGUGAGUAACACGUGGGUGAUCUGCCCUGCACUUCGGGAUAAGCCUGGGAAACUGGGUCUAAUACCGGAUAGGAGCCAUUUUUAGUGUGAUGGUUGGAAAGUUUUUUCGGUGUAGGAUGAGCUCGCGGCCUAUCAGCUUGUUGGUGGGGUAAUGGCCUACCAAGGCGGCGACGGGUAGCCGGCCUGAGAGGGUGGACGGCCACAUUGGGACUGAGAUACGGCCCAGACGCCUACGGGAGGCAGCAGCGGGGAAGAUUGCACAAUGGGCGCAAGCCUGAUGCAGCGACGCCGCGUGGGGGAUGACGGCCUUCGGGUUGUAAACUCCUUUCGCUAGGGACGAAGCUUUUUGUGACGGUACCUAGAGAAGAAGCACCGGCUAACUACGUG